rnacentral:rRNA from 1 species
GAUCCUGGCUCAGGAUGAACGCUAGCUACAGGCUUAACACAUGCAAGUCGAGGGGAAACGACAUCGAAAGCUUGCUUUUGAUGGGCGUCGACCGGCGCACGGGUGAGUAACGCGUAUCCAACCUGCCCAUCACUUGGGAAUAACCUUGCGAAAGUAAGACUAAUACCCAAUGACAUCCCACGAAGACAUCUGAAUGGGAUUAAAGAUUUAUCGGUGAUGGAUGGGGAUGCGUCUGAUUAG